UUCCAGCAUCGAUGAAGAACGCAGCGAAAUGCGAUAAAUAAUGUGAAUUGCAGAAUUUUAGUGAAUCAUCGAGUCUUUGAACGCACAUUGCGCCCCUCGGUAUUCCGGGGGGCAUGCCUGUCCGAGCGUCAUUACACCCCUC
rnacentral:rRNA from 1 species